rnacentral:rRNA from 1 species
AUUGAACGCUGGCGGCAGGCCUAACACAUGCAAGUCGAACGGUAACAGGAAACAGCUUGCUGUUUCGCUGACGAGUGGCGGACGGGUGAGUAAUGUCUGGGAAACUGCCUGAUGGAGGGGGAUAACUACUGGAAACGGUAGCUAAUACCGCAUAACGUCGCAAGACCAAAGAGGGGGACCUUCGGGCCUCUUGCCAUCGGAUGUGCCCAGAUGGGAUUAGCUAGUAGGUGGGGUAACGGCUCACCUAGGCGACGAUCCCUAGCUGGUCUGAGAGGAUGACCAGCCACACUGGAACUGAGACACGGUCCAGACUCCUACGGGAGGCAGCAGUGGGGAAUAUUGCACAAUGGGCGCAAGCCUGAUGCAGCCAUGCCGCGUGUAUGAAGAAGGCCUUCGGGUUGUAAAGUACUUUCAGCGGGGAGGAAGAGAGUAAAGUUAAUACCUUUACUCAUUGACGUUACCCGCAGAAGAAGCACCGGCUAACUCCGUG